rnacentral:rRNA from 1 species
UACGUAGGGUGCAAGCGUUUGUCCGGAAUUAUUGGGCGUAAAGAGCUCGUAGGCGGUUUGUUGCGUCGGCUGUGAAAUCCCGAGGCUCAACCUCGGGUCUGCAGUCGAUACGAGCAAACUAGAGUGUUGCAGGGGAGACUGGAAUUCCUGGUGUAGCGGUGAAAUGCGCAGAUAUCAGGAGGAACACCGGUGGCGAAGGCGGGUCUCUGGGCAACAACUGACGCUGGAGGAGCGAAAGCGUGGGGGAGCGAACAGG